rnacentral:ncRNA from 1 species
GCAGAGUAAAUUUGUGUGCGUGAUACGGGUCUGAAAGGGCCUGUAUAUAGUGUCGCACGGACGGGGAGUUGCCGUGCGGACGAAAAGAUGAUCCUGCGAUACACAAGUUGCAUCCCGCUG